rnacentral:rRNA from 1 species
UACGUAGGGUGCAAGCGUUGUCCGGAAUUAUUGGGCGUAAAGAGCUCGUAGGCGGUCUGUCGCGUCGGCUGUGAAAACUCGGGGCUCAACUCCGAGCUUGCAGUCGAUACGGGCAGGCUAGAGUUCGGCAGGGGAGGACUGGAAAUUCCUGGUGUAGCGGUGAAAUGCGCAGAUAUCAGGAGGAACACCGGUGGCGAAGGCGGGUCACUGGACCACAACUGACGCUGAUGCACGAAAGCUAGGGGAGCAAACAGG